UCCCUCCAGCCGGCCGCCCGGAAAGCCCGGAGCGCGGAGCCGGAGCGACCCUCCGCGGCUGCGGGACGGGCAUGCUCAGUAGACCCGCAGGUCCUGUUUCACUGGGAAGCGGGCCGCGGCCCCCACCCCCUCCCGCCCGGCUCGGGCGCCAGGAGGAGCGGACAUUUUAGUCUCCUCUGCAGUCCUCUCGUCUUUCGCCCCUUCCCGUCAGUGCGGGUCCGGAACGGCUGGCUGCAGUGCUGGGAUUUUAAAUAGCAGAGAUGAAAGGCCCUUGCCCCCGCCUCGCCCCUCCCCUGAGUCUGUGUAUCAUGAAUGAAACGCCAACCUUGCUGCUUCCUGAGGUGCUCCACUUCAGAUCCCAAAGAAGUCACAUGGCCAACCCCGAACCAGAUCAAGGGAUGGAAAUAUUCUCCUUCUUGAUGAGAAGAAUGGCAAAGUCAUAUCACAAGGGAUGUGCAUACAAGAUGAGAGGAAUUCGUAGCCGUUUUUAUAAUCUACUUAAAUUCCUAACCCAAAUUUCACAACCUGGAGAAGCAUAUUUGAAACAAUAAUACACAUUAAUCACAUAUAUGAUAUAUGUAUACAUAUGUAUAUUUAUGCAUACAAAUAUGUGACGUCUAUGUAUAUAAGUAUAUAUUUCUUAAAAUACACAUAUGUAAGUACAUGUAUCAUAUACAUUUAUGUAAGUAUCAGAAAUUUUUGCAUAGGUAUACUAUUUAUAUAUAGGAGUACUACUGAUGGGA